AGAGUUUGAUCCUGGCUCAGAUUGAACGCUGAUGCUUUACAUGCAAGUCGAACGGCAGCGGGGGCUUCGGCCUGCCGGCGAGUGGCGAACGGGUGAGUAAUGCAUCGGAACGUGCCCAUGUCGUGGGGGAUAACGUAGCGAAAGCUACGCUAAUACCGCAUACGCCCCGAGGGGGAAAGCGGGGGAUUCGGAACCUCGCGCGAUUGGAGCGGCCGAUGUCGGAUUAGCUAGUAGGUGAGGUAAAGGCUCACCUAGGCGACGAUCCGUAGCGGGUCUGAGAGGAUGAUCCGCCACACUGGGACUGCUCACCUAGGCGACGAUCCGUAGCGGGUCUGAGAGGAUGAUCCGCCACACUGGGACUGCUCACCUAGGCGACGAUCCGUAGCGGGUCUGAGAGGAUGAUCCGCCACACUGGGACUGAACACGGCCCAGACUCCUACGGGAGGCAGCAGUGGGGAAUUUUGGACAAUGGGGGCAACCCUGAUCCAGCCAUGCCGCGUGAGUGAAGAAGGCCUUCGGGUUGUAAAGCUCUUUCAGCCGGGAAGAAAUCGGCGCCUCUAACAUAGGCGUCGGAUGACGGUACCGGACCAAGAAGCACCGGCUAACUACGUGCCAGCAGCCGCGGUAAUACGUAGGGUGCGAGCGUUAAUCGGAAUUACUGGGCGUAAAGCGUGCGCAGGCGGUCUUGUAAGACAGAUGUGAAAUCCCCGGGCUUAACCUGGGAACUGCGUUUGUGACUGCAAGGCUGGAGUACGGCAGAGGGGGGUGGAAUUCCUGGUGUAGCAGUGAAAUGCGUAGAUAUCAGGAGGAACACCAAUGGCGAAAGGCAGCCCCCUGGGCCUGUACUGACGCUCAUGCACGAAAGCGUGGGGAGCAAACAGGAUUAGAUACCCUGGUAGUCCACGCCCUAAACGAUGUCGACUAGUUGUUCGGAGCAGCAAUGCACUGAGUAACGGAACUAACGCGUGAAGUCGACCGCCUGGGGAGUACGGCCGCAAGGUUAAAACUCAAAGGAAUUGACGGGGACCCGCACAAGCGGUGGAUGAUGUGGUUUAUCGAUGCACGCGAAAA
rnacentral:rRNA from 1 species